UGGCUGCCUUGGAGGUCCAAGUCCUCUAUUUGACUAUAGAACUGGUAUAGCGUAAGCAGCAGGGAUACAAACUUCCCUACGUUGUCCUACCAAUAUGCACAAACCCUAACCUGCAGGGACCACUUUGAGAGCUAGGAGGGAGGGUAGGUUUCAGAGUAGCAGCCGUGUUAGUCUGUA
rnacentral:sRNA from 1 species